AUUGCAAUGAUUUCUCUACGUCAUAAUACGUUUUGUGAUGCCAUAAGAUAUCUAAGGUGUAUACAAAUUUCCUGUAUAUUUUGUAUAUACCUUUCAUAUUUUUUAUACACGACAAAUGUGUUUCUGUUUUUCGUAGUGUUUGUCAAAAUGUUUUGUAAGUUUUUAAUUGUGUUACUUUGUCUUCGUUUAGCAACUGCUGCUCAGUUUCAAGAAUUGAAAAAUGCUAGUGUAGCUGUAGGGGCGCCUGCUUUGUUUUAUACAGUAAUAACUGGAGACAGUAGGAAUAGCAUCACAUGGCAAGAAAACGGAGUAGAUAUUGCUGAACUAAAAAUCAUAAAUUCGUCAUGGAUUAGCAAGCUUGUGAGCACCAAACCGUCAAGUGUUUAUGAAACCACUGUGUCUGAAGAGGGCACUACCCUGGUGACGUCACUUAGCCGACGUCAGGUUCUGUCAACGCAUAACGGAUUUAUAUAUUCCAUCAAAGACAGUUCCGGUACUAAGGAAUUACUUUUGUAUAUUACUAUUACUGUCUCGAAUUUUAGUUCCAAAAGCAAAGUAUAGUAGAUUAGGGUAAGAUGGGACACCAUUUGCACAUAUUAUCCAAAUAUCCUGAUUGUGUUUUAAACAAUUAACAAAGGUCUAUUGGAGUCCUAUAAGGAUACGGUAUAAUAUUGUAAAGGUUUUUGUUUACUGCCAAAUGGGACGAGAAGAUAGAAUUAAUAGAUGUCCCAUCUUCCCCCACCCUACUAUAAAACCUUUAAUUAUUGUGACAGUAGAAAACGUACCAAAAACUUUGCAUGUAUAAAAAAAUAUACCUGCAGUAGUAGCAGUACCGUACCGCGGGGUAAGAUGGGAUUCUUUAGCACAUAAAUUCCAUAUUUCUUAGUCGUAAUUUUAACUAUUAAUAACGACCUUUCAGAGUCGCAAGGCUAUGGUUAUUUAUUUCUUUAUAAUGUUCUCUGUUUGCCAUCAAAAAAGGGCGAUCAAAUAGAAUUAAAACACGCCACAUCUAACCACACCCUUAAUGAUAACUGUAUUUUUCUCUUUGAUUAUAGCGAAGAUUUCGAAAUAUUUUAAACGAAAAGACAGGGU